GGAAGGUAGCGUCCAAUGGUGGGCAAGCGGUCUAGAAAGCCGUGCCGGGUGUGACAGCCUGGGGGUUCGAUUCCUCUACUUUCCUC
rnacentral:tRNA from 2 species